rnacentral:rRNA from 1 species
ACGUAUGGUGCAAGCGUUAUCCGGAUUUACUGGGUGUAAAGGGAGCGCAGGCGGUGCGGCAAGUCUGAUGUGAAAGCCCGGGGCUCAACCCCGGUACUGCAUUGGAAACUGUCGUACUAGAGUGUCGGAGGGGUAAGCGGAAUUCCUAGUGUAGCGGUGAAAUGCGUAGAUAUUAGGGGGAACACCAGUGGCGAAGGCGGCUUACUGGACGAUAACUGACGCUGAGGCUCGAAAGCGUGGGGAGCAAACAG